UAGGCUUGGCGAUCGAUAUCACUCCAAAAUAGGAUUUUAGCUGGCCGAUCGAGGGGACUAUACGCACGCAGAUACAUUCGUCUCAGAUCAGGAAUUAAUUACACUACACAUUGACAGGAGAAUAAGAUCCCGUGAGAACAUCUUAAGGCCUCGUAUUUCUGAAAACGUAAUUCACGAUUUUUACAAGGCAUGAUAUUGUCCGUGAAGUUGCCAUAUACAUUGCAUCAAAGGAAGGGCGCGUCGAUUGCAAUAUUGGCACGGCCAAUUUGUUGUGGGAAAAUUCAAGUAGUAACUGUACUUGGAUUUCCUCGUUGUUAGCGAGAGAGUUCAAUCUCCUAGAGGGUUGGAAUUUCCAAAACUUCGUCUCGUUUUGUCAAUAGAAGUAGGAAAGAAAAAAAAUCGAGAUGGAUAAGAGUUUCUUUGAAGGGAUGAGCAGGUUAAAUGUGGUGUCAAUUAGUUGCUUUUCAUUGAGCUCACUACCACAAAGCAUACAGAUGCUGAAAUAUCUCCGGACAUUGGUUCUUUCUAAUUGCAAGUCUUUGAAGACCAUCUCUAUUGUUGGGGAAUUAUCAAAUCUCGAAAUUCUCGGUUGCCAAUUGUGUCCCUCUAUUGAGGAGUGGGGACUAGGAUGUCUGAAACAGCUAGAAUUUACAUCAUGUAGUAAGCUAAAGAGAAUAAAAUCGGGAGUGAUCUCAGGGCUCGUCGAAUUGGAGGAGUUGAACAUCGUGAAAAGCUUGACGAAUG